rnacentral:rRNA from 1 species
GAUCAUGGCUCAGGAUGAACGCUGGCGGCGUGCUUAACACAUGCAAGUCGAACGAAGCACUUUAACCUGAUUCUUCGGAUGAAGGUUUUUGUGACUGAGUGGCGGACGGGUGAGUAACGCGUAUCCAACCUGCCCACCACUUGGGGAUAACCUUGCGAAAGUAAGACUAAUACCCAAUGAUAUCUCUAGAAGACAUCUGAAAGAGAUUAAAGAUUCAUCGGUGAUGGAUGGGGAUGCG